AGUACAAAGAAAUCAGGGAGGGUGUUGUGGUGUCAGAUGGAUUUGUAAGGAUGGGGCUGGGGAGGUCGAUAGAAAGGAGACAGCCCACGGUGGGGAGGAUGGAUGAGCAAAACUUCCAGUGGAGACUGUAUUUACAGACAGGCCCCAGCAGUGGACAGAAACCUGCCGCAGUCACGGGGAUAGUGGGUCCUUCAAUUAUUAGUUCAACAAACAGGUACUGUUUGUUGCAUUUACUCUGGGACCGGUGUAAAGAAGACAUGGAGACAGAUGAGUAGAUGGCUGAUGGACAGCUGUAGUCGCUGACGCUCUGGGGACUUAGGGAGGUACACCUCACCCAGGCAGGAGGCUGUGGGGAGUCCCCAGGCUCCCCUAGGAGGCAUCAUGUUCAAGGAUGUGGGAGGGGAAUGCUGGAGAAGGCACAGAACCUGUGAGAGCCGGAGCACUCUGCACUGUCUGGGGCUUGCCAGGUUGGAGCAGAGAGCUGGUGCGGAGCCAGAGCCGGGGGACCUUGUGCGGAGAAAAGAGAAGGGGAGAAGAGACAUAGAGGGGCAGAGGCCAUGUGAAGUUGGAGGCCAAGAUGGAGCUGUGCAACCACAAGCCAAGGGACGCCUGGAGCCACCAGAAACCGGAAGAGGCAAGGAAGGAUUGCUGUCCCUCUCCCGCCACCACCCUGAGCCUUCAGAGGAAUUAUGGCCCUGCAGACACCUUGGUUUUGGACUUUUGGCCUCCAGACCUGUUAGAGAAUAAAUUUCUGUUGUUUUAAAGUCACU
rnacentral:lncRNA from 10 species